rnacentral:sRNA from 2 species
GCCUUGAAAGCGCCGAGUUCUUAAGAAGCGGAGGACCCAGGUUUUAGGGGUGAAUUGCCGUCCGGCAAAGGGCACGACCACAGCCCGAACCCGUCAGCUAACUUCGUAGGCGUUGGGGGCUCAAGGC